rnacentral:rRNA from 1 species
AGUGGCGGACGGGUGAGUAACGCGUAAGAAUCUAACUUCAGGACGGGGACAACAGUGGGAAACUACUGCUAAUACCCGAUGUGCCGCGAGGUGAAACCUAAUUGGCCUGAAGAAGAGCUUGCGUCUGAUUAGCUAGUUGGUGGGGUAAGAGCCUACCAAGGCGACGAUCAGUAGCUGGUCUGAGAGGAUGAGCAGCCACACUGGGACUGAGACACGGCCCAGACUCCUACGGGAGGCAGCAGUGGGGAAUUUUCCGCAAUGGGCGAAAGCCUGACGGAGCAACGCCGCGUGAGGGAGGAAGGUCUUUGGAUUGUAAACCUCUUUUCUCAAGGAAGAAGUUCUGACGGUACUUGAGGAAUCAGCCUCGGCUAACUCCGUGCCAGCAGCCGCGGUAAUACGGGGGAGGCAAGCGUUAUCCGGAAUUAUUGGGCGUAAAGCGUCCGCAGGUGGUCAGCCAAGUCUGCCGUCAAAUCAGGUUGCUUAACGACCUAAAGGCGGUGGAAACUGGCAGACUAGAGAGCAGUAGGGGUAGCAGGAAUUCCCAGUGUAGCGGUGAAAUGCGUAGAGAUUGGGAAGAACAUCGGUGGCGAAAGCGUGCUACUGGGCUGUAUCUGACACUCAGGGACGAAAGCUAGGGGAGCGAAAGGGAUUAGAUACCCCUGUAGUCCUAGCCGUAAACGAUGGAUACUAGGCGUGGCUU